rnacentral:rRNA from 1 species
CCUACGGGAGGCAGCAGUGAGGAAUAUUGGUCAAUGGGCGGAAGCCUGAACCAGCCAAGUCGCGUGAGGGAAUAAGGCCCUAUGGGUCGUAAACCUCUUUUGUCAGGGAGCAAGGUCGUCCACGUGUGGGCGUAUGGAGAGUACCUGAAGAAAAAGCAUCGGCUAACUCCGUGCCAGCAGCCGCGGUAAUACGGAGGAUGCGAGCGUUAUCCGGAUUUAUUGGGUUUAAAGGGUGCGUAGGCGGAACAUUAAGUCAGCGGUAAAAUCGAGGGGCUCAACCCCUUUAAGCCGUUGAAACUGGUGAUCUUGAGUGUGCGAGAAGUAUGCGGAAUGCGUGGUGUAGCGGUGAAAUGCAUAGAUAUCACACAGAACACCGAUUGCGAAGGCAUCUGACGAAUCGGAGAUUGACGCUGAUGCACGAAAGCGUGGGUAUCGAACAGGAUUAGAUACCCGAGUAGUC